GGUUCAAGUGUAGUGGUGUUUGUUUAUGACUAAUUGAUGACAACCAGCUCCAGAUUCCUUUAUUCUUUCUGUACUACCACUGCUUCACUUGAGUAGCCUUAA
ensembl:misc_RNA Y_RNA Y RNA